GGGGCAAAGUCCCUUUAAGACAAGUCAUUUCACUCGGCGGCCAUCUUUGAAACGGCUCUCGGGCAUCCAAGUGCAGCUCCUAUUACUUUGAAUGGGGAAAGAUCGAGUUCUCUAAAGCUGUUUGCCAAGCUUUCGAUUAAAUUUCAUAUUUGAAAUCACCAUUGAAAUCUGACAACAACUUUCUCAUAAAUUUUGUUUCUAAACGCUCGAAUCAUGACAAAAAAACAGUAUUUUUCAGGCUGGAUCAACCUAAUGCGCAUGCGCAGUCCUAAAUGCGCGUCUCUUGUGCCUCAUUUCGGAGGCGCGCGUCUGACUGUUUCUAGAAACCGGAGCUUCUAACGGCCGCUGCAGUGACGCGAUGACUUUACCAAUCAGCGAUUGGCUCUUAUUUAGAAGGCGGGACUUAUUCCGCCAUAUUGCGCGUUGCACUUUUUCCCAUUCAUUAUAAUACGAGUGACGCGUCUUGUGUUGGUAGGGGUAGUGUAGGGGGAUAGAAUGUACAGUUUGUACAGUAUAAAAACCAUUUCGCCUAUGGAGAGUCCCCGUGAACCACACAUACGUGUGUGUGUGUGUGGUUCAGGUAUUAUGGGUACAAAAUGUCCCCACAAAGAUGGCAAUAUCUGAAAUACUUGUCCUUAAGGGGACAUGUUGGUCCCCAUGAAGAAAGUAUGAUUUAUAAUCCGUUAAGUGAUUUAUUUAUUUAUAUAUUUAUUGAAAAUCUAAAAAUGCAGAAAGUUUUCUGUGAUGCGUAGGGUUAGGGGAUAGAAUAUACAGUUUGUACAGUAUAAAAAAUAUAUCUAAUUUUAAUUAUGUAUAUUCAUUAUGUCUGUGGAAUGUCCCCAUUAAACAUGGAAACCCAGUGUGUGUGCGUGUGUCAGAUCUCCAUCAUGUCUAUUCAAAUUUUACUUUUUUUAUUUAUUUAUUUUAUUGCACCAUAUAAACUGUAAAGUUUUCCUGAUUAACUGUAAUGCAUUAUAUUACUAUUUAUCCAUCUCCCCUCACAAAAAUUACUGUAUAAGAAUGCAUUGCCAUGGCACUUUGAGAUAUACUAUGAUACUAGUCAAUUACCAUGUUCACGUACUAUGGUAAUUACAUGGUAUUACAUGUCCAAAAAAAAACGUUUUGUGCUCCCCCUAGCGACCAUGCGUGGUCAUUUCGAAAUCACCAAUUUCUCUUUCCACCAGCAGAGGGCUGCAGAGACCAUUUUAAAAUUUUGGACCUCCUUCAUUGCGCAAUUGCCCAUUUGGUAUUACCCUUUGUUUGCAAUUCAGAAGCCCAACGAAAUAUUUAAUCAGCCAUCAACUGUUCAUUUUUACACAAUAUAAUUAUUAUAAAUAUAAUUAAACUAACGGCCAGCUGUAAUAAUGCAAAUAUUGGGUUCAAGGGUUCAAAGAUUAGUAACGUUCACUUGUUUCUCAGACAUUUUCAUUGGUACUUUCUGAUGACUCAUGAAGAACAUCCUGUUUCGUUGGAAUAACCAAUGAGUUCAUGGCUUUUUAAUAAGUGACUGAUGUUAAUAAAAGGUUGAAUCAACCGUUUUUAUUGUUCUUCUCUUUUCAUAACAGAUCAUUAAGUCUGAAUUCUUUCUGCUGAUUCAUAUAAAGGCUAUUUUAAUGAAAGUGUGACUUCAGCGAAUCGGUUCUUUUGAGAAGUUUCAAAGAACCGUUUCGGGGGGGGAAAAAAAAACGAACAAAAACAAUUCAGCGAUCCUUUCACGUUCUGACGCAAUUACGUUUUCACGCCUUGCCUGCCAUCUCGGCCUGAUAAUGUUUUAAAAGAUUCUAAUGAAGCCAUAUAGAGGUGUUUUAUUAAGUUUUUGUAAGGAGGGUUUUUCACGCGUCUUAGCUCAUAAACCCAUAACGUCACUUAGGAUAUGUGCUAAUAAAACUGUCAAACACAUUUCCUGUACGUUUUGCUAUUAAAGUAACGUAUGCUGAAUUCGGAACCGCAUAGUAGCUGCUACUACUCGUACUACCUUUAUCACAUAUUUCUAUGGCAGAAAUAGUAAGAGCAGUAUGCUAGUGCGCGGUUCCGAACUCCGCAUUAGCCUAUUUUUUUUUACACUCUAAGUAAAAUAGUUGGUGAGCUUUGUUUUGAGAAAUCGGAGCGAUUCAUUGAAAAGAUCCGACUCAAAAGAACAGUUCUUUCACAUCGCGGGAAUUUCUGCAGGUUGGAAACUCCCACCGUGUGGAGGGAUUUGCGAUGGCGUGACAUGUUAAAAGGAAUAGGCACACAUCGGCUGACACAGCUGUAAUAAAUUCACAAACAAGCAAGACCAACAUUCCUCCUGUACUGGACAUCCAUAGUGAAUCAUGUCUGGAAUCGGCUUUCUGAAGAUAUACUUUAUCGGAACUGCGCUUUCCCUUCUGGUGGCUCUGUUUGGACUGGUUGAUUCAGUCGGGGGUCUGAUGUAUCCUCAAGGAUCCGACUGUGCAGACGACAGCUGGACAGAGAAACAUACCCCCGUGUCUCUAUCACGGACUGCUGCUGCUGCCAACAACAAACGCAUCGGGUCGAGAUAAUCUGGAUCUUCUCCACUGCCAUCGGUGACGAGUCUUUAAUUGCACUAGGAGAAAUAAUUAAAAUUACUGACCUACUAAAACCUAACAUGGAAUUGUUUCCUUCAUUACACUACUGUGAGCUGUGUGAAUCAUGUGAAAUAUGAGACCAUAUGCAGAACACCGAUGAUGGAUGGCUACUGGUACUACAGAUAUGAGAUGCAAAAUCUUCACCUCUUUUACUUGUUAUUCUGGUUUCUGCAAAGAACUUGUCUGACUUCAUAUAAAACUCUUAAGGCAGUAAAAAAGAGAGACAUUGAAAGCUUAAUAGCUACUACAAACAUGAUACAUGAACGAUGGACUGCUGUAAAAUAUUGAAAUCCUAUGUGAUCAAAAUGAUUUGUAUGUUUUUAAUGUUUGUUCCUUUUUAUACUGUUUAUAUGAAUACAAUAGUAACACCUAGACUGUUAAAUAGGUUUUUUUUUUUUUGUACUAUAGUUACUGACAUACUGUUCACUUUGAGAAACUGAGGCAUUAGGCUGCAGAUUUGGUUUUAUUUUGUUUUUUAAAACUUGCACUUUUUUUUUCUUUGCAUUGUGGGUUGAGGGUCUGAAAGAUAUGAGCAGCCAAACAAAAUUGUUACUGAAACUCACUGUUUCAUAUGCAACUGAAUAAAAAUAUGUACAUUAACACUCUU